GAAAAGCCAGACUAUGAUUACUUAAGAAAGCUUUUUACUGACUUGUUUGAUCGCAAAGGGUAUAUGUUUGAUUAUGAAUAUGACUGGAUUGGUAAACAGUUGCCUACUCCUGUAGGUGCAGUUCAGCAAGACCCGGCUCUGUCAUCGAACAGAGAAGCACACCAACACAGAGACAAGAUACAGCAGUCUAAAAACCAGGUUGUAAGUUCUACAAAUGGAGAGCUAAACACGGAUGACCCCACGGCGGGACGGUCAAAUGCACCCAUUACAGCCCCUACGGAAGUAGAAGUGAUGGAUGAAACCAAGUGCUGCUGCUUUUUCAAACGAAGGAAAAGGAAAACCAUACAACGUCACAAGUGACUGGACACAGACAGAGCCUGGGGAGUUACUUACAUGUUUAUAUGCUGUCUCGUGAUUAAAAUCAUCUCUAGAGUGACCACAUAUAUUUUCAAGGACUCACUCUUGAAACAAAAAAGUCAUACUUUCAUAUUUCAUUUUGUGGUUGUCUUAUAUUCAUUCCCCCACCCCUAAUUUAACUUUAUGGAAGCUUUAAAAUCUUGUCAGAACAUGAGUGCUUUGCCCAUCCUUGAAUGGAAUGGACCAAUGAAGUGUAUUGAUGAACACAGUUCCAUAGGAAAACAAUACAGGUGUCCAAAUGUCAAUUAAUUGUACCUAAUUUGAUUUCUUUAUGUCUUCUAUAAAAGCAUAAUCAAACAGGAAUUUUCCUCCCACUGGAUACUGAAGCAGAGAAAACAGUUGCCCAAAUAUUAAAAACAACUUUUUUGAACAGUUCCUGUUUUGUGACAUCUGCAUUGAUUUCAGUAUGACCGAUGGUACUGUUAUUCAUGAAUCAUAUUGGCCUUCUCUUUGUGAAAUCAUGGUACAGUCACUGCCCAGAGGUACUGAGGAAAAAGUACUAUGGGAUUGGCAAACUGUGGCGGUCAAUAAGUCGGCAGUGUUGGAAAUAUGAGCUCGGCUUCUGUGGCGCCACUGUGUGAGGUGCAGCUGCAGACGAAGAAGCGC
rnacentral:lncRNA from 1 species